CAACUCUUGAGAGUGCAUUAGGCCUCGAAUAAGGUGUCAUCAUCAAUGUCUGUCACCUCAUUAGGUUCAGGACCAAUCCCUCGUCCCUCCCCAGUGUGUCUAGACUGAGAGAGUGUCCUCCCCAGUGUGUCUAGACUGAGAGAGUGUCCUCCCCGGUGUGUCUAGACUGAGAGGGUGUCCUCCCCAGUGUGUGUAGACAGAGAGAGUGUCCUCCCCCGUGUGUGUAGACUGAGAGAGUGUCCUCCCCCGUGUGUGUAGACUGAGAGAGUGUCCUCCCCCUUGUGUGUAGACUGAGAGUGUCCUCCCCCGUGUGUGUAGACUGAGAGAGUGUCCUCCCCCGUGUGUGUAGACUGAGAGUGUUUCCUGCCUCCACCUCCACAGGACAAAAUUCUGGUUGUACUUCCAGAGGCAGGAAAAGACUGCCCAGGCCCCCAACUGACAGCUGUGUUCAGGGGGCCUGGACAGUCUUAUUCUGGCUCCCCAGCUGUCUGGCUGGGGGCCUAGGAGGACUGACUUUGUAAGGUCAGGCAUUGCAUUGCUGCUGAUUCCUCUUUCCUACUGGAUUGUGUUUGGCUUGGCUCUGUGCCUAGCAGGUUUCGAACACGUGGAGAUCAGGUAGCCUCUGUGUCCAGAGUGCUAUUACUAAGUCAUGAGCCACCAACAUCCUGCUUGUUUAGGUUCAUAGUUGGGGUAUUUGUUUUGGAUUCCAGGAGAUUUUUUUCCUGUGUCAGUUAUGGUCUUUAUUAGAUGUCUUUUCUGUCAAAUUUUCACCUAGGCACAAUGACAUGGAUUUUCUUCUGUGUGUUCUCUUGGACAAUUACAGGCUUCAGUUUAUAUUCUUUGUUUGAGAGGUCUCACUGUGUGUGUUCAGGGGAAUGUGAUGAACUGGGAAGAGGAAGACCAUCAUUGCAUAACUUCCACUGAUGGAGUCUGCACAGGCAAGCUACCACCAUUCCAUAUCAUGGCUUUUAUGUGCUGUCUCAUCCUGGUUUCCGCUGUUUAAUGUGUAAUAUUUCCUCUUAUGCUGCCUUCCAGUAUAAAAGCAAAGGAUUUAAUCUCUGCAUCCCAGAAGCUGGAGCUGGUAGAGAAGAAUACAUUGUGAUGUGACAUCUGUCAGACAGAAAGGGUGACUGGAACAUGGUGACAUUAUGGGUAAGUCACUUGUCUUCCUGCAUCCUUAUCCAUUAAGGGCGAUCACACUAUCCAGUCUUUUGUUCAUCAGCAAACCUUUGAGGCAUCAAUGCCUUGUCAUCUCAGAUGGAUGGUAGGACCAUGUACUUUGCAGUAAAUUAUAUUAUAUCAACUGUUCCAGGACUUCCUGGUCGGUGUUAUACUGGAGGCACUCUGACCUGGUGAGUGCCUGCAUGUCUAAACUUUCUGAUAUUACUGUGAAUAUAUUCCCUUCACUUGAACCCUUCUAAGAACAGAGUCUCCAACACAUUUUCUCUAUGUCUAAAGAGGACCACAUCAUAUCCCAUCCCAUUAUAUUUCUUUCAUGAACUAUCACACAGAACUGAGA
rnacentral:lncRNA from 1 species